GACGGAGGGUGCUAGCGUUGUUCGGAAUCACUGGGCGUAAAGGGCGCGUAGGCGGCAUGGCGUGUCGGCUUGUGAAAGCCCGGGGCUCAACCCCGGAGGUGCGGCCGAAACUGCCGUGCCGGAGGCCGGAAGAGGAGGGUGGAAUACCCAGUGUAGAGGUGAAAUUCGUAGAUAUUGGGUGGAACACCGGUGGCGAAAGCGGCUCUCUGGUCCGGACCUGACGCUGAGGCGCGAAAGCGUGGGGAGCAAACAGG
rnacentral:rRNA from 1 species